GGUAGCCGCUCUUCUAGUUACUCUCUUGAGUUCAUACGUUUCACUAUCAGGCUGCAGGUUGAGUGUGUCAGUAGGUGUGCUUGAUGAGAUCUCUUUAGACUGAAAAAGGAUGUUAGGCUCCAUGUGUAAUAUUUAUGGACUUUCAAAUUUUUUGACUGUUUUGUGUAUUUUUGCUGGAGUAAUUUCUUUUUCUCCCAUACUGCUUUUCUAUUUUCAGUUUUUAGGGAUUGUUCUGUAAGAAGAUUGGGACCCUAUUUGACUGUACUGCACGGAUCAUUCCUCAUCUU